GAUGAACGCUGGCGGCGUGCCUAAUACAUGCAAGUCGAGCGAACGGACGAGAAGCUUGCUUCUCUGAUGUUAGCGGCGGACGGGUGAGUAACACGUGGAUAACCUACCUAUAAGACUGGGAUAACUUCGGGAAACCGGAGCUAAUACCGGAUGAUAUUUUGAACCGCAUGGUUCAGAAGUGAAAGACGGUCUUGCUGUCACUUAUAGAUGGAUCCGCGCUGCAUUAGCUAGUUGGUAAGGUAACGGCUUACCAAGGCAACGAUGCAUAGCCGACCUGAGAGGGUGAUCAGCCACACUGGAACUGAGACACGGUCCAGACUCCUACGGGAGGCAGCAGUAGGGAAUCUUCCGCAAUGGGCGAAAGCCUGACGGAGCAACGCCGCGUGAGUGAUGAAGGUCUUCGGAUCGUAAAACUCUGUUAUUAGGGAAGAACAUAUGUGUAAGUAACUGUGCACAUCUUGACGGUACCUAAUCAGAAAGCCACGGCUAACUACGUG
rnacentral:rRNA from 1 species